AGAGAGAGAGAGAGAGAGAAAGUAGUGCUGUUGUAGCCACUUGUAAAUAGUUGGGGCAUGGCAUUCUAGCAGUAACAACUAACAAGAGCUCUAUGAUAAGGUUUAGAUUAAAUUUUAUGGGCUAGUAGAAGAGGAGAAUGAAUCAUGCAAGUUGGGGUAAGGAAAUAUGGUUAACUCCUUCCCCUCCUCCCUAGAAAAAGAUUAUCCUUCUGUUUUGUGGGUUCACUGUGGACAUUCCAAAUUAUCUAUAGAAAAAUCAAGCGUUGUUUUUAUAUCUGUUUUCUGUGUCUAUCUGUGUGAAUGUACGGGAGAUAGUCUAUUUCUUUUGUUUGUACAUAUUAAUAAAUAAAGGUGAGAUUAUCUUUUAUUUUCAGUAGAUGGUAAUAUUUUUUUUUAGUGGACAAUGGCAUAUUUUGGUUGCUUUAAAAAUGAAAAUGGAAAGCAAAUCCUAGAAUAGGAUUCCAUUAUGUGGUUUGGUGCAUAAGAAAUCAACAUUUCUUUUAAAUUAUACUGGACUCAUUUGGUUUAGGUGAAAAUAAAAUUUAAGUUUGAUUAUAAUUUUUGAAAUUACCAUUAAGGUAAGUUUGCUUAUCAUAAAUAAUUGGAAUGGGAGUCUUGGAAUAAAAUGUUUGGAUGGCAUUAAUCUCUAUUGCUAUUCCAUCUCCAAAGUGAACCAAAUGGGAUCUACUUGCUCUUUAUGCUUAUGUUAUCUUCAGUUUUCACACUGGACAAAAAGGGUAAAAUGAAAUGGCCAAAAAUUUUGAGAUCGAUACCAUUCAGAUGGACAUGAGAUUUGUCUGUUCCAAAGGUGUGUAGCAGACUGAAGCCUUAUAUUUCUUCCGGAAAUGUGUUCUGUGGAAAUGAAACAAUUCCCAAUUAUGUGUAAUUUAAUCUUUUCAUUUCACUGUGGUAUUGGCUUGGUGAGGUGACCCAUGCUUCAGCUUCUCAAUGUCUAAAUCACAUAUUUAAUGAAUGCUUUUAAUUUUCAGGUGGCAGAGAGAGCAUUG
rnacentral:misc_RNA from 1 species